ACCUUGGCUUUAGACUGCUUACUGUUUAUACAGUAUCACAGUACAGUAACAGUCUACAGUCAUGGCUAC
rnacentral:pre_miRNA from 1 species